rnacentral:rRNA from 1 species
AUUGAACGCUGGCGGCAGGCCUAACACAUGCAAGUCGAACGAGUGGCGGACGGGUGAGUAAUGUCUGGGAAACUGCCUGAUUGAGGGGGAUACCUACUGGAAACGUUAGCUAAUACCGCAUACCAUCGGAUGUGCGCAGAUGGGCUUAGCUAGUUGGUGGGGUAACGGCUCACCUAGGCGACGAUCCCUAGCUGGUCUGAGAGGAUGACCAGCCACACUGGAACUGAGACACGGUCCAGACUCCUACGGGAGGCAGCAGUGUGGAAUAUGGCACAAUGGGCGCAAGCCUGAUGCAGCCAUGCCGCGUGUAUGAAGAAGGCCUUCGGGUUGUAAAGUACUUUCAGCGGGGAGGCGUUACCCGCAGAAGAAGCACCGGCUAACGCCGUGCCAGCAGCCGCGGUAAUAC